rnacentral:rRNA from 1 species
UUGUGUGAAUACAUAGCACAUUCGAGGUAGACGCAGAGAACUGAAACAUCUAAGUACCUGCAGGAAGAGAAAGAAAAUUCGAUUCCCUGAGUAGCGGCGAGCGAAACGGGAAAAGCCCAAACCAGCAAGCUUGCUUGUUGGGGUUGUAGGACUCCAAUAUGGUAGUUCUUUCAGAUAGUCGAAUGACUUGGAAAAGUCAGUCAAAGAGGGUAAAAACCCCGUAGACGAAAUGUGGAAGACACCUAGGAGGAUCCUGAGUACGGCGGAACACGAGAAAUUCCGUCGGAAUCCGGGAGGACCAUCUCCCAAGGCUAAAUACUCCCUAGUGACCGAUAGUGAACCAGUACCGUGAGGGAAAGGUGAAAAGCACCCCGGAAGGGGAGUGAAAUAGAACCUGAAACCGUGUGCCUACAACAA